GACGAACGCUGGCGGCGUGCUUAACACAUGCAAGUCGAACGAAGUGGCGAACGGGUGAGUAACGCGUAAUCAACCUGCCGUUCAGAGGGGGACACCAGUUGGAAAGGACGCUUAUUACCCAAUACGGAAUGAGUGGUAUGCGUGUGAAAGGGUAGGGGGCGGGUUAACGGCCAACCAAGGCGAUGAUCAGUCACCGGUCUGAGAGGAUGAACGUGCACAAUGGGACUGAGACACGGCCCAGACGCCCACGGGAGGCAGCAGGGGGGAAUCUUCCGCAAUGGACGGAAGUCUGACGGAGCAACGCCGCGUGAGUGAUGACGGCCUUCGGGUUGUAAAGCUCUGUUAAUCGGGAAGCGGUACCGGAAUAGAAAGCCACGGCUAACGACGUGCCAGCAGCCGCGGUAAUUC
rnacentral:rRNA from 1 species